UACGUAGGGUGCGAGCGUUGUCCGGAAUUAUUGGGCGUAAAGGGCUCGUAGGCGGUUUGUCGCGUCGGGUGUGAAAACCCGGGGCUUAACCCCGUGCCUGCUUCCGAUACGGGCAGACUAGAGGUAUGCAGGGGAGAACGGAAUUCCUGGUGUAGCGGUGAAAUGCGCAGAUAUCAGGAGGAACACCGGUGGCGAAGGCGGUUCUCUGGGCAUUACCUGACGCUGAGGAGCGAAAGUGUGGGGAGCGAACAGG
rnacentral:rRNA from 1 species